GGAGUCUGGGCCGUGUCUCAGUCCCAAUGUGGCCGUUCAUCCUCUCAGACCGGCUACUGAUCGUCGCCUUGGUAGGCCGUUACCCCACCAACUAGCUAAUCAGACGCAGACCCAUCGCAAAGCGAUAGCUUACAAGUAGAGGCCAUCUUUAAUCAAUCUCCCAUGCGGAAAACUGACAACAUUCGGUAUUAGCACCCCUUUCGGGAUGUUGUCCCCAUCUUUGCGGCAGGUUGUCUACGCGUUACUCACCCGUUUGCCACUCGACUCUCAAAAGCAAGCUUUCAAUCGUCUCGUUCGACUUGCAUGUGUUAAGCACGCCGCCAGCGUCGUCCUCGAGCCACUGAUCAAACUACU
rnacentral:rRNA from 1 species